CCUACGGGACGCAGCAGUGGGGAAUAUUGCACAAUGGGGGAAACCCUGAUGCAGCGAUGCCGCGUGGAGGAAGAAGGUUUUCGGAUUGUAAACUCCUUUUAUCAGGGACGAUAAUGACGGUACCUGAAGAAAAAGCUCCGGCUAACUACGUGCCAGCAGCCGCGGUAAUACGUAGGGAGCGAGCGUUAUCCGGAUUUAUUGGGUUUAAAGGGUGCGCAGGCGGAAGAUCAAGUCAGCGGUAAAAUUGAGAGGUUCAACCUCUUCGAGCCGUUGAAACUGGUUUUCUUGAGUGAGCGAGAAGUAUG
rnacentral:rRNA from 1 species